AAGGAAUGAUGAUCUUCUACUUCAUUGGUCCGUGUUUCUGAAGCCUGUGAUUUUAUAGAAGUUCUGACCUU